rnacentral:lncRNA from 13 species
AUGGCCAUCCCAAAUAAUGUUGUUUGGGGAUCCCAAAACCCCGGGUUUGGUGUCCUGGGGAUCCCAAAACCCCGGCUUUGGUGCCCAAAACACUGGGUUUGGUGUCCUGGGGAUCCCAAAACCCUGGGUUUAGUGUCCUGGCCAUCCCAGAACAGUGGGGUUGGUGUCCUGGGGAUCCCAAAAAAGCCGGGUUUGGUGUCCCAGGGAUCCCAAAACCCUGGGUUUGGUGUCCCGGGGAUCCCAAAAAAGCUGGGUUUGUUGUCCCGGGGAUCCCAAAACCCCAGGUUUAGUGUCCUGGCCAUCCCAGAACAGUGGGGUCGGUGUCCUGGGGAUCCUAAAAAAGCCGGGUUUGGUGUCCUGGCGAUCCCAAAACUUGGGUUUGGUGUCCUGGGGAUCCUAAAAAAGCUGGGUUUGGUGUCCCGGGGAUCCCCGCUGGCCCUAAAGCACAGCUGGGUUGGUGCCAGCCCAGGAGGAUCCCGAAGCCGCCGUUUUUCCCUGUUUUCCUGGCAGCUCCGGUGGCGGCGGCGGUGAGGUCCCACUUCCACGAGUGCCCCGACUCGCACCGGCAGUUCUGCUUCCACGGCACCUGCCGCUUCCUGGUGCAGGAGGACAAACCCGCCUGCGUGUGAGUCCCCACGGGCACCGGGGUGCCCCUCCUGGGAGCCCAAAACACCGGGAUCGGGGUCCUGGGCAUCCCAAAACACCGGGUUUGGCGUCCCAAAGCACCGGGGUGCCCCUCCUGGGAGCCCAAAACACCGGGUUUGGCGUCCCAAAGCACCGGGGUGCUCCUCCUGGGCAUCCCAAAGCAGCGGGGUGCUCCUCCUGGGCAUCCCGAAACACUGGGGUUGGGGUCCAGGGCAUCCCAAAACACCGGGUUUGGUGCCCAAAGCACCGGGCUGCUCCUCCUGGGAGCCCAAAACACCGGGGUGCUCCUCCUGGGCACCCCAAAACACCGGGUUUGGUGCCUAAAACACCGGGGUGCUCCUCCUGGGCAUCCCAAAGCAGCGGG